rnacentral:rRNA from 1 species
GACGAACGCUGGCGGCGUGCUUAACACAUGCAAGUCGAACGGAAAGGCCCUGCUUUUGUGGGGUGCUCGAGUGGCGAACGGGUGAGUAACACGUGAGUAACCUGCCCUUGACUUUGGGAUAACUUCAGGAAACUGGGGCUAAUACCGGAAAGGAGCUCCUGCUGCAUGGUGGGGGUUGGAAAGUUUCGGCGGUUGGGGAUGGACUCGCGGUUUAUCAGCUUGUUGGUGGGGUAGUGGCUUACCAAGGCCUUGACGGGUAGCCGGCCUGGGAGGGUGACCGGCCACAUUGGGACUGAGAUACGGCCCAGACUCCUACGGGAGGAAGCAGUGGGGAAUAUUGCACAAUGGGCGGAAGCCUGAUGCAGCAACGCCGCGUGCGGGAUGACGUCCUUCGGGUUAUAAACCGCUUUCGCCUGUGACGAAGCGUGAGUGACGGUAAUAGGUAAAGAAGCACCGGCUAACUACGUG